GGCAGUGGUAGCACAGAGGUUAAGAUGUUGGACUACUGCUUGUAAAGUUGUGAGUUCAAAUCCCAGCACUGCCA